UCACCCAACCUAUCAUGAACUCGUACGAACAUAAUAUAGUACAUGGUAAGUUGCAAAAUAUUAAAUAAAGAGGCAGUGGAAAAAAUGUCAAAGUCAUGACCAUUCAAAAAUAAAAAUGGUAAAAAAUAAAAUUUAUAGCACAUUAUCAAAUUUAUGUAUAAACUCCAACAUACAAUCUUUCUCCAAGCCUGCAGCAACUUAUCCUCUCUUGCAGGUUCGCAACUUUAUUUAGAUCCUGUACUAGCUCUAAAAAUUCUAAACACGCUUCUACAGGAACAAAUCACACUAGGUAUUCAAUUCACAUCAAGAACUAGAAAACUCGUCAAUUAACUUCGAACCUAAUUCUCAACUAAAUGAAUCUAGCUCAAAAAGCUAAGCAAC
rnacentral:lncRNA from 1 species